CUAGUAACGGCGAGUGAAGCGGCAACAGCUCAAAUUUGAAAUCUGGCCCUCGGGUCCGAGUUGUAAUUUGUAGAGGAUGCUUUUGGCGCGGUGCCUUCCGAGUUCCCUGGAACGGGACGCCUUAGAGGGUGAGAGCCCCGUACGGUUGGACACCAAGCCUCUGUAAAGCUCCUUCGACGAGUCGAGUAGCUUGGGAAUGCUGCUCUAAAUGGGAGGUAAAUUUCUUCUAAAGCUAAAUAUUGGCCAGAGACCGAUAGCGCACAAGUAGAGUGAUCGAAAGAUGAAAAGCACUUUGAAAAGAGGGUUAAACAGCACGUGAAAUUGUUGAAAGGGAAGCGUUUGCGACCAGACCUUUUCCUAGCGGAUCAUCCGGUGUUCUCACCGGUGCACUUCGCUAGGUUUAGGCCAGCAUCGGUUUCUGUAGGGGGAUAAAAGCUCUGGGAACGUAGCUCCUCCGGGAGUGUUAUAGCCCUCUGCAUAAUACCCUUACGGGGACCGAGGACCGCG
rnacentral:rRNA from 1 species